GGCGGGCGGAGGAGGAGCGGGGAGGAGGAGAGUCGCGGGGUUGGCGUUGGACGGUUGCGAGCGGCAGUUGGAGGAGAUGGAAGGCAGAGCAAUCAUGAUGCAACCAUGAGACAACCAAAGGGAUGAAAACUACAUGCAAAAGUUGCUGGAGCAGAAAGAUCAAAGAGCAGAAGCUUUUAAUUUUGAC